rnacentral:rRNA from 1 species
UACGAAGGGGGCUAGCGUUGCUCGGAAUCACUGGGCGUAAAGGGUGCGUAGGCGGGUCUUUAAGUCAGGGGUGAAAGCCCAGGGCUUAACCCUGGAAUUGCCUUUAAGACUGCAUCGCUAGAAUCGUGGAGAGGUGAGUGGAAUUCCGAGUGUAGAGGUGAAAUUCGUAGAUAUUCGGAAGAACACCAGUGGCGAAGGCGACUCACUGGACACGUAUUGACGCUGAGGUGCGAAAGCGUGGGGAGCAAACAGG